UCCUGAUCAAUGGUGAGACUAACUUGAUUACCUGAGAGGUUUGCUCUUGGUCUCACAAAACUCCUGCUCACAGGAGCUCAAACUCUCCUCAACAGAGAAGCCACACCAGGAGGAGGGUGCUGAGGAGGACCUGCUAAUGGAUCAAGAGGCAGAAGAGUGGCUGGGUUGGGAACCUGGAGUCGGUGUGGAUUCAGCAGAAUAUGUACCUUCCUGGGGGUGGCAGCCCAUCAAGCUGGGUUUGAUUUUGGGAUCUUGGAGAAAGGGAAAGGGGAGUGGGCAAGCAUUCCAGGCAAGCUAUUGGCUCAGAGGAGAGAAAACAGGAGAUGUAUUAGAAGACCAGCAACUAUAUUCUGGUUUGGCUGAAAUGUCAGCCCCUCCUUCUGAAGCAAUCCGUUGCUUCCUGCUGUAAAGUCCUGGCUGUGACUCCCCAUCGCCAUAAAGAGGAAAUCCACACUCCUGGCCGAGACGUCACAAGGCCCUGCAGGAGCUGCUCCAUGUCUAGUCUGUGGUCUUCACGCUCUGCCCUUGGAGCCGAACUGCCUUCAGCUCCUGGAAUCCACGUGCUCUCACCUGCAAGGCUUUAGUGCAAGCUGUUCUCUCUGUCACAACCCUCCUCCUCGAGGACCUUUUCCCCCUGGCUGGACACGAUUUAUCCUGUAGGUGAAGCCUAAAUGCCACUUCCAUGGAGUGGAAGCCUCUGGAUCCCAGGCCUGAGUGAUGAGAGCCUGUUUUCUCACGAACCACGGUGGUUACAUGGAUCCCCUGAAUUACAGUCGCUUCCUCUCUCUUAGGAAAUGCAGACUUUCCUGGGUCAGGCCCCAUCUGAUUUGUUCCUGGGCACGCAUCCCUGGCACUUAGGGCUGAAGCUGCCCGGUGAAUGCCUGGCCAGUGAAGCAGGGCGCCAAAGGGUGAGUUUUGUCCAGCUUGCCCCGGAAGCCAGCAGCCAGGGCCCUUGACUUUGAGCUCUCCAGGAGGAGACAGAACUUUUGCCGGGCGGCCUCUGUGUUGCCCGUGACAUCGUCUUCAGGUCCUUAACAGGAAGAGAGGGGAGAGAGGGGCGGAGAGGAGGAGGCAGGGCAGAGAAGAAAGCAAGCCCUAAUCCGUGGCCCAGAAGGAAUGAACAUUUCCAACCUCGCUACAUCUCUCAUCUAAGUAGGUCACACGAAAGAACUCGGAGUCCCUGUCAAAGUUUCAGGCAAAAACAAUAACUUGGUUUUGACCUUGCUCUCUUCAAAAAGCAACUUGCUGCUGAGCUGCAACAUCAAAAAGAAUAAAUAAUUGUUUUUCUUU